rnacentral:rRNA from 1 species
AGAGUUUGAUCAUGGCUCAGAACGAACGCUGGCGGCAUGCCUAACACAUGCAAGUCGAACGAGGGCUUCGGCCCUAGUGGCGCACGGGUGAGUAACACGUGGGAACCUGCCCUGUGGUUCGGAAUAACUCCGGGAAACUGGAGCUAAUACCGGAUGCCCUCUGCGGAGGAAAGUUUCACGCCAUGGGAGGGGCCCGCGUCCGAUUAGGUAGUUGGUGGGGUAACGGCCUACCAAGCCGACGAUCGGUAGCUGGUCUGAGAGGAUGAUCAGCCACACUGGGACUGAGACACGGCCCAGACUCCUACGGGAGGCAGCAGCGAGGAAUUUUCCACAAUGGGCCGUAUGGCCUGAUGGAGCAACGCCGCGUGGGGGACGAAGCGUCUCGGCGUGUAAACCCCUUUUGGGCGGGAAGAUGAUGACGGUACCGCCCGAAUAAGCCCCGGCUAACUACGUGCCAGCAGCCGCGGUAAUACGUAGGGGGCGAGCGUUGUUCGGAAUUACUGGGCGUAAAGCGUACGUAGGCGGCUUUGUAAGUUAGAGGUGAAAGCCCAGAGCUCAACUCUGGAAUUGCCUUUAAGACUGCAUCGCUUGAAUCGUGGAGAGGUUAGUGGAAUUCCGAGUGUAGAGGUGAAAUUCGUAGAUAUUCGGAAGAACACCAGUGGCGAAGGCGACUAACUGGACACGUAUUGACGCUGAGGUACGAAAGCGUGGGGAGCAAACAGGAUUAGAUACCCCGGUAGUCC